CCUACGGGAGGCAGCAGUGAGGAAUAUUGGUCAAUGGGCGCAAGCCUGAACCAGCCAAGUCGCGUGAGGGAUGACGGUCCUAUGGAUUGUAAACCUCUUUUGUCGGGGAGCAAGGCCCGCCACGUGUGGCGGGAAGGAGAGUACCCGAAGAAAAAGCAUCGGCUAACUCCGUGCCAGCAGCCGCGGUAAGACGGAGGAUGCGAGCGUUAUCCGGAUUUAGUGGGUUAAAAGGGUGCGUAGGCGGAAGGUUAAGUCAGCGGUCAAAUGUCGGUGCUCAACACCGGACUGCCGUUGAAACUGGUCGUCUUGAGUGAGCGAGAAGUAUGCGGAAUGCGUGGUGUAGCGGUGAAAUGCAGAGAUAUCAGGAAGAACUCCGAUUGCGAAGGCAGCAUACCGGAGCUCAACUGACGCUGAGGCACGAAAGCGUGGGGAUCGAACAGGAUUAGAUACCCCAGUAGUC
rnacentral:rRNA from 1 species